rnacentral:rRNA from 1 species
UACGAGGGGGGCAAGCGUUGUUCGGAUUUAUUGGGCGUAAAGGGUGCGUAGGCGGUUUGGCAAGUCUUAUGUGAAAUCUUCGGGCUCAACCCGAAGCCUGCAUAAGAAACUGCCGGGCUUGAGUAUUGGAGAGGUGAGUGGAAUUUCCGGUGUAGCGGUGAAAUGCGUAGAUAUCGUGAGGAAGACCAGUGGCGAAGGCGGGUCUCUGGACAGUUCCUGACGCUGAGGCGCGAAGGCCAGGGGAGCAAACGG